GACGAACGCUGGCGGCGUGCCUAAUACAUGCAAGUUGAGCGAUGAAGAUUGGUGCUUGCACCAAUUUGAAGAGCAGCGCACGGGUGAGUAACGCGUGGGGAAUCUGCCUUUGAGCGGGGGACAACAUUUGGAAACGAAUGCUAAUACCGCAUAACAACUUUAAACAUAAGUUUUAAGUUUGAAAGAUGCAAUUGCAUCACUCAAAGAUGAUCCCGCGUUGUAUUAGCUAGUUGGUGAGGUAAAGGCUCACCAAGGCGAUGAUACAUAGCCGACCUGAGAGGGUGAUCGGCCACAUUGGGACUGAGACACGGCCCAAACUCCUACGGGAGGCAGCAGUAGGGAAUCUUCGGCAAUGGACGAAAGUCUGACCGAGCAACGCCGCGUGAGUGAAGAAGGUUGUCGGAUCGUAAAACUCUGUUGGUAGAGAAGAACGUUGGUGAGAGUGGAAAGCUCAUCAAGUGACGGUAACUACCCAGAAAGGGACGGCUAACUACGUG
rnacentral:rRNA from 1 species